rnacentral:misc_RNA from 1 species
GUCCUCCCGUGCGUUCCUAUUCAAUCGUUGGCACAAGGGCUGCUAUAGCCUUGGCCCAGUGGAUGGUUUCCUGUGUUGCAUACCCACGUUGAUGGAAUUCGUUGGCUGACCCUCCCCACGUUCGCCCAUUACUGGCCGUUAGCACGGUGCGGCUUCGGGUGAACAUUAAAGUGAAAUUUGUGAUCUGAAUUACAUGUGCCUUGUCUUGUAAUCACGGGGCACGAUUUUCAUAGACCCUUAGGAUGCAGAAAACGCUACGGGUAUGGGGUCCUGGACCUCUAUUUGCCCAAAUAUUGGCAUUAUAUGCCCCAUUCGAAUGACGUUUAGUGUCGUAUGGAUGUUUUACAUCUUGCGACCUGAUGUCUCUGAGGAAUGCUACCUGGUUGAUCCUGCCAGUAGUCAUAUGCUUGUCUCAAAGA